AGAGUUGAUCGAUCGGCUCAGGACGAACGCUGGCGGCGUGCCUAACACAUGCAAGUCGAGCGAGGAGAUCCUCGGGAUGAUCCUGGCGGCGGACGGGUGAGUAACACGUGGGCAACCUGCCUCAUAGAGAGGAAUAGCCUUCCGAAAGGGAGAUUAAUACCUCAUAACAUUGCAGUUUCGCAUGAAACAGCAAUUAAAGGAGCAAUCCGCUAUGAGAUGGGCCCGCGGCGCAUUAGCUAGUUGGUGAGGUAACGGCUCACCAAGGCGACGAUGCGUAGCCGACCUGAGAGGGUGAUCGGCCACAUUGGGACUGGGACACGGCCCAGACUCCUACGGGAGGCAGCAGUGGGGAAUAUUGCACAAUGGGGGAAACCCUGACGCAAGCAACGCCGCGUGAGUGAUGACGGCCUUCGGGUUGUAAAGCUCUGUCUUCAGGGACGAUAAUGACGGUACCUGAGGAGGAAGCCACGGCUAACUACGUGCCAGCAGCCGC
rnacentral:rRNA from 1 species